AUAUUUUGACAUUUCAUAUCAAACUGUUCAUUAGAUGGUUUUCCCUCUUACAGUGGUCUGAAAUGGCAGAUUUCAGAUUUUCCUGUGUUGCUUUCAUUCCUGUUGCACGGGUGAGCGUUCCAGAUGUUUUCUUUUUCACAUUCUUUCUGGUGUUCCUUUUUUCGUGUGCUGAAUUGCUGGCCUGUCUCUCCUAUGUACGUUUUAUUGCA